rnacentral:tRNA from 1 species
GGGCCCAUAGGUUAAUUGGUAGACCAUCCGUCUUCCAAACGGUCUGUGUGGAUUCGAGUUCGACUGGGCUCA